GGUGGUUCUCGGGUGACGCACCCUGGAAUCGGGCACCCUCCUCUCUGGUUCCGGGUGCAUCACCGGAGAACCGCA
rfam:Myotis brandtii contig238230, whole genome shotgun sequence.